GCGUAGGCGGAUUAUCAAGUCUCUUGUGAAAUCUAAUGGCUUAACCAUUAAACUGCUUGGGAAACUGAUAGUCUAGAGUGAGGGAGAGGCAGAUGGAAUUGGUGGUGUAGGGGUAAAAUCCGUAGAUAUCACCAAGAAUACCCAUUGCGAAGGCGAUCUGCUGGAACUCAACUGACGCUAAGGCGCGAAAGCGUGGGGAGCAAACAGGAUUAGAUACCCUGGUAGUCCACGCCCUAAACGAUGUACACUAGUUGUUGGGAUGCUAGUCAUCUCAGUAAUGCAGCUAACGCAUUAAGUGUACCGCCUGGGGAGUACGGUCGCAAGAUUAAAACUCAAAGGAAUAGACGGGGACCCGCACAAGCGGUGGAGCAUGUGGUUUAAUUCGAAGAUACGCGAAGAACCUUACCUGGGCUUGAUAUCCUAAGAACCUUUUAGAGAUAAGAGGGUGCUAGCUUGCUAGAACUUAGAGACAGGUGCUGCACGGCUGUCGUCAGCUCGUGUCGUGAGAUGUUGGGUUAAGUCCCGCAACGAGCGCAACCCACGUAUUUAGUUGCUAACGGUUCGGCCGAGCACUCUAAAUAGACUGCCUUCGUAAGGAGGAGGAAGGUGUGGACGACGUCAAGUCAUCAUGGCCCUUAUGCCCAGGGCGACACACGUGCUACAAUGGCAUAUACAAUGAGACGCAAUACCGCGAGGUGGAGCAAAUCUAUAAAAUAUGUCCCAGUUCGGAUUGUUCUCUGCAACUCGAGAGCAUGAAGCCGGAAUCGCUAGUAAUCGUAGAUCAGCCAUGCUACGGUGAAUACGUUCCCGGGUCU
rnacentral:rRNA from 1 species